CUGACUAAAAUUUGAUACUUUUGAUUUUGUAUAAAUAUGGGGUCGGAAAUGAAUAUUAUCAUGCACAUAGAUGGACAGUUUGAAUGUUCGGAGUUAUUUUACUUAUUGUUGGUAUCCUAUUGCGAAUUUCCUUUAAUGCGAGAUUUUUUCGCUUUCGUAAUCUUCGUUCGGUAAUUCUCGUAAAUAACCCAAAAAUCGUAGGCCAAGUUUCCUUUUCAAAAUCAAAUCAUUGAAUUUUAAUUGGACCACGCGAACAAUAUAUACCACAUAUACAUGCGUAUAUAAUUUUAUUGUAAGAAAUAAAAGCGUUUCAUAUUUUACAAUACGCAUAUUGCUCAUCUGUUUGGUGCGUUACAGAUGAGAAUAAUUGUAACGAACUGAUUCCCGUUAUUUCGUCCAAUUUCGCAAAGUCUUAUGCACGUUUUUGAAACAGGAAAUAAUUAGUUAUUAACAGAAGAUCGCCUGAUAAUUGGUGUUUACCAAGUUUCUCAAUAUAUUAGGCGUUAUAGCGUUUGAAUUGAUGUUAAUGUCUUCAUUUAAUACAGCCACCGAAGCUUUCUCCUUAAAGGAAGCUCGUAAAACGCGUUUCAUGAUCAUUCACCAUCAAUCACGGCACAAAUAGGCUGAACUAUUGUUAAAAAUUUAAUGAGCGAGUCUAUAAAAUCUCAAGAAGCGAGGCGUGCUAUGAUCGCAAGACACAUGGAAAUUAGUAGAAAUUCAACCAAAAUUAUUAGAAAUCCAAACCUAGUCUUCUUCGUGAUUUUUCUAAAUAUUGAUCUUCCUAAAAAUUAUACACUUCCCUUUGAAUUCGCAUACGACUUAUCAAAGCGUCGCUUUUAGAAGUAUUAGGGUUAAAAAAUAACACAGGAUCGAAUACGACUAAUUCGUAAUUCCUCAUAGAAAUUUUCUGAUUUUCAACGGUGUAUUCUUAGGAAUUUGAAUGAUUUUCCGUAUAAAAUAUAAGUGGAAGCUCUUUUUCCUGCUCUACAUUAUCUGCACGUCAUCUCAUUCUAAUCUCUUUGGCACGAGUUUCGUGCUUUUCUCGUGAAUAGUUUUAGCGUGAAAUGCUGAAAACGCGAGCACAGAGAGCUCUUCAUGGCAACCGAUACCGCCCGUCAAAGCAAUCACCGGCAAGAAAUCGCUCGAAAAGCUGGUGCUGGCUGUACGAGGAAAAUGAAGAGACGCGGCCAAAGCAAACAGCACGCUGACUCUCGGCGAACCGCCGCGGUUGACGUUGUAAUACGGUAAACGUUUUAUUGGAACGGGAUACAGCGGUAGUGCGUCAAAGCGACGAUGUACUUAACCGAUUGUGUUUGUUUGAAUUUUGCGGCCGAACGCUGCUCAGGAAUUGAGUGGUAAUUUGAAGUAGCGGAGGGAAAACGACGUUUCAGAUCAACGUUCUACCCAUUGAUUGGGAAAGACGAGCCGGAUUAGUGGCUGACCAAUUCUGUGUACACGUGCCAGCAAAAUUAUUGUUUUUCUUGUUUGGUGUUCGUGUAGGAGAAGGCAGAAAUAAGGAAAAGAAAUUAUCAUGCUGGAGUCUCGCCGGAAGUGUCUUGUAUAAAUACAGCUGUCGCGCGCUACGCAAAAGGAGAGCCGGUGAACGGGGUAAGCGAUACUCCACCAUCGCAGACAUUCUUUCGUCGAAGGAAGAAAGGCGUGAAGAGAGAAGAGGGUUAAAAAAUUUGUGAAAGGAAACCAGAUCUAAAAAUGUCUAAUCCUCCCGAUCUUUUUCGAAACUUUUUUAUCCCUUCUAAUAUUAAAUCGCCAACUUUUGCUACGAAUGUAGGAUAUUAAGACAUUGGGCACGCGAUUCGAGUGAUUUCAGCAGACUCGGGAAGAGAAUAUUGCGAAAUCGGGAAAUUUUGAAAAAAGAUCGAUGAAGAAAGAAACGAUAGAAAAGAAAAUGAAACCAUACACGUCAAUGAAAAUUUGGUAAUUAUAACUAUCGAAAGAAAAGGAAAAUGAAAAAUAACUGAUCUGCGAAAUUAACGCAUUUUCAAAUUGCUAAAUUGUUAAAUUAACAAAUAAAAUUCCAAACUUUCUUGCGGAACAAUUAUUUUUUGUAUUGAAGAAUUUAACAAAUUGUAAUUAAUUAUAAUAAAUACCACUGGUAUCAUUUAAAAUACAUCCAUCUUACAUCUGAAACAGCAUAAAGCGUGAUUUCCAAAAAACGAAAAUGAAAAGCGAACGCAGGGUAAUUAGACCAUCUUGGAUGCCAUUCGAAAAGGAACCUCGACCCAACGACGAACACGGUACCAGAGUUCGGUCUGGUUCCGAGCGCAUACGCGAAAAACUAAUUACCAUUACGCCUCUCUCGGAGCGGAACCGUCUCGGGAAAAAUGAACAGAAAUGUCCUACACCGUGAUCCCUGUCCCAGCCUCGUUAUUUUUAGUAUCGAGAUACUGGCCGAAGAGAGAAGAGACACGGUCAAAGGGAAGCGACAGACCAACCAGCUAGAAGCAACGUGGAAAGAGUAAAAGAGACAAUUGUGCAACUAAGUAUGUUGUAAUUAAACAGUAGGCAAAGAGAAUCCAGCUACUAUGCAGUGUAUAAGUACAUUGCCCUUCAUAAGUAUCUGAAUACUUUGUUCAAUUCAAAGUAACAGUCGAUGGUCAAAUGCACAAAUGAAUGAUGAAUUAAUAUUAAUUAGAAACAUCACUUGCUAUCUUAUUAUAAUAUCAACAGAUCAGAUCAGCAGAAGAGUAAUAUAUUUUAUUAUUUAUUAUUUAUUACAUAUAUUUAUUAUUUAUAUAUCAUUGCUCGCAUCAAAAAAAAUUUCUAUUAAUUUAGAGGAACCUUCGUGAUCUGAUUUGUAAUCCAACAACUAAACAAUCUGAAAAUAAACAGCUUGUCAAGAUUUCACAAUUAUAAACACCAGCUUUAUUGUUGCAUAUUGGCUUUUAAAAACACUUCAAUCUGUACUUGGAAGCUUGUCGAAGUUUCGUAUAGAGACGCGUGUUCACGCGUGCCACCUCGCAUACCUAUACGCACCUCGCACGGCCACUGGUAUUAAAGCUACAUGCAUCGUUGUCCUGGUAAAAGAGGACCACCGCGUGACCAAGGGAGGAGUACUCUUAAAAUGUUAUGACGUGGAACUCGUGAUUUCAUGGAACAUUUAAUCACUAUAUUGGUAAAUAGCCGAAACAGGGGUUCUCGGACAUUGGACUGCAAAGGGUAUUCCAUUGCUUUGCUCGAUGCUGAUGCGAUCGUUGAAGAGAAUUUGAAAUGGAGCAUCGAGAAUUUAUGGGCUUCUAUUUGGUAUUUAUGUAGGAUGAAUCAGGUUUGAAACAAAGAUAGAUUAUAAUUAUAUUUGAAAUAAUGGGCGAAUACAAAUAAUUCAGAAAUAUCAUUUUGUGGCAGUUUUUUUGUAUAUAAGAAGUAUAUCUAUUGCAUAAAAUAUUUGCUCCGAACCGAAUUUAAUAUCAAAACAUUUGAUCAGACGAAGAAGCACGAGAUUCAAAUACGAAAAGAAAUGUAUCUAAAUCGACGUAUUAUUAUACUAUAUACUCACUUGCUACGAAAGAUUGAUCAUUUUAAUCAAACGAAUUGUAAAUUUCAUAUAUUGCGAUUUAAUAACUUACAGCAGAACUGCAUUUAAAACUUCCAACUCAUAGAAAGACAGUAAGUUCAAUAAAUACAGUUCAUAUAAUAGCACUUCAUUGAUUUCGUCCAGAUUUCUCUUAUAGUAUAAUCCUUACAUAAUGGAAAUGCACAUUCAGAUAAAUACAUUCAAUCAGCAAUGAUCAGACAGUCGUAGCUACUAGUUUCACUAUUUCUAUAAAUCGUGUGUACAUAAAUAAUAUCCUACACUAAUUUACACACAGUGUACAUGAAUUAAAUGACUUAUUUCCAAAAUUAUAAUAAAUAUAUAACAUAAUUAUAUAAUAUAAAAUGAAAUUAUAAUAAAAACAAACACGUACAAGAUCACCAGUCAAACGAUACGCUCAUCCGCUACAUCUACUGUAACGAGGAUCGAGUAUGAGGAGAUAUCGAGAACCACUGUAUGCGGUCUCUCGCGAAGGUACUCGAGCCAAAUAGUUACGCCGUAGGAUCCCCUUUUCCCUUUCUCUGUUCGCUGACGGCUGCAUCGGUGGAGCAGUUAGAGUGUCGGAAAAGGCCAUGGAGGGCCGAGGGGGUGGGUUCGGGUCUCGUAGCGACGGGGGUGUGUACCAAUUAUACAGACACAACUAUUGUGCGGCUCUCAUUAAACGACGCCAACAAAUUCGAUUACUUCUGCUUCCAAAUUUUGCCUCGGCCCCCGGUAAAUGCUGGCAUCGGCACCUUCACCCUUACACCAAGGGUGGAAAAUACGUCGGUGGAGAGAGCAUUCUCCACGGUUCGAACUCGUUGCUAUCCUCUCCCCCCACCUACUUUCCAUCCCACCCGACCCCAACGUCGAGAAUUUAUUUUACGACUAAACAGAAAAUUAGUGAGCGUUUGGGUUUGCGGUGUUUAGGUCUUUUGCACCGCCGUGGUUCGAACCGCGGUCGACUAGGCCA